AUGCCGGAAGCAAAAACCAAAACUUUUCGUUGGCUUUUUCCUUUGUCGCCUCCCACAUCCCCUGCUCCUCUUGCCCACCCCAGCCCCAGGCUGGAGGCCCUCCCCGACUUAAGUUAUUGUUUUAAACCAAAGUUUACAGUGUCUGUUGGUGGCCAAGACCCCCUCUCUCCACCCCCACCCCGAGGACCCUGGGACUCAGUAGAAGCUGGGGGCCCUGCGCACCUCCCCUCUGCUCCGGCCUGGCCUGGGGGAAGGAGCACGGGCAGAGGGGAGGAGACUGCCGCCCUCAACUCCCCCCACCCCCCGGGUUCUCGUCCCCUUGGGCCGGGGGCAUGGGGAGCCCUCCUCCCAACCAUGGGCUGCUUCCUGGGGGCUCUCCAGACCCCCUUCUCCAGGACCAAGUUCCCCAUCACACUGGGAGUGUGGAUUCCAGCGAAGGAGCUGGAAAAAAAAGUGAGACUCUCUCCACAGACCCCCUAUGGGGGACCCCAACUUAAGGCCAAGGACUGGGUGUGUUUGAUACUUAACACCCCAGGCCAGGCCCCUUUGCUGAGAAGACUCCUUGGACUAUUUCCCAAGAAACCCCCACAUACACCCCUUCACAAGCCACCCCUCCCAAGAGGCAGGGGGCCCUCCGCCCCCUCCCCUAUGUACUCCCCACCUGUGUUCUGUUUGACCAGCACAGAAAUAUUAAACGUCCUCUCUUCACCGGGCCCUGCGUGUGUCAGCAAGGGAGGGGAGGAUGCUCUGGGCAGCAGGGGUCCUGUAGGGGCUCUUGCUGCAAGUGCGGAAGUGGACCGAGCCCCAGCGCCAGCGCCUGCACCUCCACAUUCGUUCACAGCUUUGUUCCGGCUCCUCUCCGCCCCACCUGGCUUCCUUUUCCACUCGUCAUCCGGGGAAUUUUCUCUCAAACCAGGUCUCCGUCGUCCUCCUAUUUUCUCCCAAAGUCACAACUCCUGGGCCCAGUUCCUUCCUGGGUUUGCAAUCCAAGUUUUCCUGCCUGGACGUUUUCAUUGGGGAGUAGAUUUCCUCUUGGGAUCCAGAGGGUUCUUGCUGCAGAAGCGCAUGCCCGGG
rnacentral:lncRNA from 1 species